GUGAGAGUGGGUAGUCCGUACGAGCGCACCCUAUCCUUAUUUGCCAGCACAUCAUGGUGGGAACUAUAAGGAGACUGCCGGUGAUAAACCGGAGGAAGGCGGGGACGACGUCAAGUCAUCAUGGCCCUUACGACCAGGGCUACACACGUGCUACAAUGGGAAGGACAAAGAGCCGCGAAGCCGCGAGGUGUAGCUAAUCUCAGAAACCUUUUCGUAGUCCGGAUUGGAGUCUGCAACUCGACUCCAUGAAGUCGGAAUCGCUAGUAAUCGUAGAUCAGAAUGCUACGGUGAAUACGUUCCCGGGUCUUGUACACACCGCCCGUCAUACCAUGGGAGUGGGUUGCACCAGAAGUGGCUAGUCUAACUUUAUUGAGGACGGUCACCACGGUGUGAUUCAUGACUGGGGUAAAGUCGUAACAAGGUAGCCCUACCGGAAGGUGGGGCUGGAUCACCUCCUU
rnacentral:rRNA from 1 species